GCGCCCGUAGCUCAAUGGAUAGAGCACCGGCCUUCUAAGCCGGUGGUUGCAGGUUCGAUCCCUGCCGGGCGCGCCA
rnacentral:tRNA from 1 species